UCAAGUGGUGGGGCGAGGCUGUGGUAAGGAUGUGUUAUUGUGUUAGAUACUCACGAACGAAAAGAGAUAGCUGUCAGUAGUCUGUCUAUAAGUGUCAGCUGCGGUUUUAUCGUUUUUAUACUCACAACUGUUUGGACUUGGGUCCGUCUUUUACAUUGGAUCUUUAACAUUUUUUUUUUUAAUUGUUGUUAAUGUAAGCGAUGGCUUAAAAUAAAACGUUCUUUUUUAUUUAUCAGUACAAUAUAAUAUAAUAUAUUAUCUGUACACAUAUAAAUAAAAAAUUUAAUAUCAACAAUAGUGGGGAAAGACGGUAUUGUUGGAUUGUUGGACAGUGAAUGCUGGUUGUCCUGGCAGCUGUUCUGGAGGCUGACUACGGCAUACAGUAUAGAUAACAGCUAAAGAAAAGCUAAGUGGAACUGAAAAACUCUGAAUUGCACGUAUAUUCGACGCCAUUACAACCGAAUAGCAUUUACCAUCUACCCAGCAUACCAUUCCUAAGUUAAACAAAGUGAAAUGUGUGAAUUUAAGAAUCACAAACUUAACUGAUGAAGGCGUUUCAUUUAUUAGUGUGAAACGUUUUUAGUUUUUAUCUUAUCAUCUGCAAAUUUAAGCAGAUUUAUUAUUUUACUCAAUCAUGCUUUUAUAUUGAUUUUAAAUUUUAAAUUUGUUUUAGUUUUAUUUAUUAUUUUAAAAGUGUUUUACAAUUUAUUUAUUAUAUACUCACAACUGUUUGGAUUUGAGUUCGUCUGAAGGAAAUUGAAAUUCAAAGUGUCUGAUUUAGUUAUUGGAACAAGGAAUAAAUUAUUGUCACCUGCAGCAUCAUUUUCAUCUUCAU